UUUUGGUGUUUUCAUGCUAACACCUUUUACAAAAGUUGUUUAUAACACAACUAGGACUCAUAUUCCUCCAUAAAAACUCAAUAAAAAUCACAAAUCCUUUCAUGGAAACACUCUAAACUCUUGACCAUUUUGCAAGAUAUCACCCUCAUUUGAAAACUCAUGCUUCAAGGGUCUCAAAAAUGCAAAAAUCAUCAACAAAGGGUGU
rnacentral:lncRNA from 1 species